UCAAUGGUGAUGACAUGGAUGAGAGUUAGCAGUCGUGUAUUUCAUGAGUUCUUCGUAUAAGGAUUUUACUGGAAUUACAGUGGAUAUUAUCAUCAAAACAGCACAGAAUCAGGAAACAGACAGCAAGAUGAGUCAGAUGUGGACGCUUAUGCUUCGUAUCUCCCAACACAUUCAUCGUUGCACUUGAAUAUUGUGCGAAAAAGGACUUCGAUGUGGAGGAUUGUGUAAUAGACAGAAUGGAUGCCAUAAGAUGCUAUUGCCUUCAAGAAUGCCUCGAGGUUAUAGAACACCUUAUAUACAAGGUUGGAUACAAGGUCAGAGUUGUGAAGGAAUGACGAUAUUCAGGCCCUACACGAAAAGGUUACGAGGGCUCCUUAACCUGUGGUCGGCAGCUGCAUUCGCUUUUCACUGGUGACCUGGACAGCAAAGUUUCAAAGAUUCGAGUACGUGAGAAUACCCUCCUGGAUAACGCUAAAAUUAAGGGAACUAGGAACAGUUUGCGCUCCAUACAGCCCAAAACGUCGUGGACAUACCAUUUACGAAUUGACUAAAUUAAUAUCAUAGGAGGUUUUUUUAAAACCGAAAUAGAAUAAUGAUAAUCUGAGUGUGUCACUUUGUAAUCAACACGUUUACAAAUCAUUGUGAUGGAAAGCCAUCCAAAUUCAGUUCAUAAUGUCGAUUACAAAACCGAAAGGGGCCUGAUGAAAAGCUAUGCAGGUUCGCCCAGUAUCAUAAAACAAAUUUGUUGGAGUGGAAAUCCUCCAAUGUAAUAUUUGAUGUAAAGAAUCUGAAUAGGUUUUGCCUGAUUUAGCUGCAUUGAAAUGGAAAGCCAUUCAAUGCAAUAAAAUCCAUGGAAAUUCAGCGUGUAUGAUGACUUUUUGGAAGCAUUUUUUCUGAGGGAAAAUCAGUCAAGUUAAAUGUUUGUUUUAAACACUAGCGCUAAUGUCACUCUGUGUUAACUUUGAUUGUGUUACUAGGCAUGUUAAAACCGAUGUACAUGGACAAGAUUUAAGACAAUUCUUGCAUUUUAAAUGCAGCAGAACCUCUCUAUUAACGGGUUCCCUGGGACUGACACUUGCUGUCUCUAUAGAGAGGUGUCCCAUUACAGUUGUUCAGGCUACAGUCUAAUCCUAACCUGACGAAUCCAUCAAGUUAUUCAGGGUGCACCCGACAACACUCAAGGCUUUUUUACUUCCCUUGUACAUGUUGUAUCAGGUCCCAAAACUAAUGUUAGAAUGUUAUCUACUGGUAUAUAACAUCCAUCGUUUAGUGCUUUAGUAAAGAUAGUCUGCCAUCCCAUCAAAUAUAGAUAUUUGCAAGGAAUUUUUGCCUGACCCGAGGAAUGUGAUAUUCCCAAAGCCGACAUCUUAAAUGUUUAUCAUUUUUGUAGGACUCUAGGAAAUACAGAUUUUACGUGUAGUCGUGUAUAUUGAGGCAGUGCAAUUAAUUCAGAUAUUUUCCACUCUGUAUGGUUUAUUUCUCGAGCAAAAUCGUUUUUUCGUGAACUCAUGAUUUAUCGUCUUUUGUACGAUGAGGUGCGGGGAUUCGCAUUGGUCGUGUGUUAAUGGGUUAUAUAGACAGAGCCAAUGUAAAAUUGACCACAAAGGCAUUAGUUUUUUGUAUUGCACGGAGAGGGAAUCCAUGUGUCGUAAAUUAGUCGUCUUUUGCGAGCAGGUUUAUUAUCUAGAGUAUGAUGGGAUAAGAUCACUGUAAGGGCAUACUUUUAGCAUUGCUUUGAUGACAAAGAAAAGCAGUAAAUCUGUAACUAGAGAUACUUCCCAACUUGAAGGUGCAGGGCGCAUUUGACAUGUUUGAUAGAAACUAAGAGGCAUUGAGAUUUAUAACACAGGAUCAUCUGCCAUUUAAUGCACCCUUAAAAUAACCGGGACUUUUUUUUAUUAGAUCUCGAUCAGGGGCAUUUAUAAUCCAAAUCUUUAUAGGCCUACUGAAGAGAACUGUUUACAAACCGACCAAACAUGCCAAAAAGCUUGCCAAUAUCCUGGUGACCGAGCUCUGCACCAGUGAUCGGCCAGGUCAGGUCUCGAGCACUCUGGCUUUCAAGACGAGACAUUUGCCGAAUUCGUCUGGAACUUUGGGGUAGAAUACCAUGCAGUUGCCUGAAUUCAAUAUUACGAAGGCACUGAAGGAUCAUUCGAAAUUCAAAAUGUAUGGUUUAAACAUUGGUCUAGUACAUUUUUUGAUGUAGUGUUUGAGAUUUUCAAAAAAAUUGCUAACUUUCAUAUAGACGUCAACUGUUAAAUUUUAUUA